rnacentral:rRNA from 1 species
GAUGAACGCUGGCGGCGUGCUUAACACAUGCAAGUCGAACGAAGCAAUUAUGAACGACUGGAGAGCUUGCUCGAAGGAAGGGAUUAAUUGACUGAGUGGCGGACGGGUGAGUAACGCGUGGGUAACCUGCCUCAUACAGGGGGAUAACAGUUAGAAAUGACUGCUAAUACCGCAUAAGCGCACAGUACCGCAUGGUACGGUGUGAAAAACUCCGGUGGUAUGAGAUGGACCCGCGUCUGAUUAGCUAGUUGGUGAGGUAACGGCCCACCAAGGCAACGAUCAGUAGCCGGCUUGAGAGAGUGAACGGCCACAUUGGGACCGAGACACGGCCCAAACUCCUACGGGAGGCAGCAGUGGGGAAUAUUGCACAAUGGGGGAAACCCUGAUGCAGCGACGCCGCGUGAGUGAAGAAGUAUUUCGGUAUGUAAAGCUCUAUCAGCAGGGAAGAUAAUGACGGUACCUGACUAAGAAGCCCCGGCUAACUACGUGCCAGCCGCCGCAGUAAGAC